ACGAACGCUGGCGGCAUGCCUAACACAUGCAAGUCGUACGAGAAAGCUUCCUUCGGGAAGUGAGUAAAGUGGCGCACGGGUGAGUAACACGUAGAUAACCUACCCUAUAGACGGGGACAACAGAUCGAAAGGUCUGCUAAUUCCCGAUACUCUCUUGAGGCCGUGAAGGUCUUAUGAGGAAACACAGCCCUCUGAUCUAUGGUUGUGCUAUAGGAUGGGUCUGCGGCCCAUCAGCUAGUUGGCGAGGUAACGGCUCACCAAGGCUAUGACGGGUAGCUG
rnacentral:rRNA from 1 species